CCCAUGCCUCUCAGAGCCCUCC
rnacentral:misc_RNA from 1 species